UGGAGCUACUUUCAUGGCCAGGAGGCCAGCAGAAUCUAGAUGACUAGAUCGGGAAAAUCGAUCCCAUUGAUCUGCCAUGAUGCUUCAUUGCUUCGGUCAAUCUCGACCAGACGACCACCUCAAUGAAAAUUGAAAUCGCUUGGUGAUUGUAUUCAGAUAUUCUUGUUCUUCAAUUCAUCAAUUGCUCCUCCUAUAUCGAUUCUCAUCACCAGUUGUCGAGAACUGCUGCUUCAUAUGUGGAAGGUCAGUGUCGAGAAGCCCUCAGAAGCAGGGGGCCACAAUUCCUUUGAGAAAGCUUGAAAAAAAAUAAAAGAAGUUCAAGCCCCACCGAGCUUCCAAUCAUGGAUUCGCCCCUGGUUGAGUUUGAGGAAGACAACGACACUUUUGCUGAUAAACAGCCCCGCCCAAGCCUCGAGGUCGACGACGACGAUGACCUUGAUUCGAGCAAGGUGAAGAGUGAUAAAUCGGCUUUGGAAGCUAGAAAUGGAAAGGAUAUACAGGGAAUACCAUGGGAGAGGCUUAAUUUCACCAGAGAUAAGUACUGUUGUAUGAGUGGCCUUGAUUUUCAGCCGGAUUGAUUUUUUUUUGCUUGUGUAGUAACUCUUAUGAAUGUUAUAGGAGUGCUUGCAAGUGGAGAAGGGGAAAAGUUUCUAUGACUCACAAGGCUUGUCAAGUCGACAAUUGUGCAUUUUCAGUGCAUACAAGGAAAUUUUGGAGGUUGAACCCCCUGAAUGGCUUCCUGACCGUUCGACUAAAGUUUGCAUGCAGUGCACUUCUCCUUUCACUGCCUUAACUCGUGGCACUGUGAGGAAAUGGCCAACCUCUUUAAGC